AUGGCACAGGGAACCAUCGUAGCCACCCUUCUGGUGCUGCUUCUGGCUGUUUGCUGCACAACCACCCUCGUCCAUGGCAAGGAGUGGAUCGUCGACGACAAGGGGUGGACCAUUGGUAUCUCCGGCUGGGAGAACGGAAAGCGCUUCAAGUCUGGUGACGUGCUCGUGUUCAAGUACGAAUCAGCGAUGCACAACCUGGUCCAAGUGGAAGAACGCGACUACAACUCGUGCUUGGUCGUCGGCCCGUCGAAGUUCCACGACUCUGGCAACGACCACAUCCAACUCGCCGGCGGCAAAGCCUUCUUCCUCUGCAGCGUUAUGCGUCAUUGCGAGCAAGGCAUGAAGAUGGCCGUCACUGUCGAAUAG
rnacentral:rRNA from 1 species